CCUACGGGAGGCAGCAGUGGGGAAUAUUGCUCAAUGGUGGAAACACUGAAGCAGCAACGCCGCGUGGAGGAGGAAGGUUUUAGGAUUGUUAACUCCUUUUUUUAGAGAAGAUUAGGACGGUAUCUAACGAAGAAGCACUGGCUAAGUCCGUACCAGCAGCGGCGAUUAUACGGAGGGAGCGACCGUUACUCGGAGUCUCUGGGCGUAAAGAGUGCUUAGGCGGGGUAAUAAGUCAGAUGUGAAAUGCUUUAGUUUAACUACAGAACUGCAUUUGAAACCGUGACUCUGGAGUGGGGGAGAGGUAGGUGGAAUGCUCGGUGUAGCGGUAAAAUCCGUAGAGAUCGAGAAGAAUACUGAUUGCGAAGGCGACCUGCUGGAACCUUACUGACGCUGAUGCACGAAAGCGUGGGGAGCGAACAGGAUUAGAUACCCUAGUAGUC
rnacentral:rRNA from 1 species